rnacentral:lncRNA from 1 species
UUCUGAUGAACUAGAAUGCAACUCGAUUGAAUAUCUCAGACAAGCUGCUUGGAUGGUUCAAAAGAUUUCCAAAGCUAAGAAAUUAACACUUUGGAAAUUCAGGUUACAGGAUGGAUGAGAUUCAGGAUUACACAUUUUCUAUCAGGAAAAUGUAUCAAAAGUUACAAAGUGACUUAUCCAAAGGUACUUCAAAAUCUUCGGAAGUUUCAAAUGUACAUUUCAAACUCAGGGAAGUAUUCUGGAAUUUGAAUUAGUUAAGUUUAUAAUAAUGUCUUCUCCAGAAGACUCUAGCCCUGUUAAUCAUGAUAUUGGGCAGCUCAACAUUGAUUCGGAAAAGGCCAACUGGUUCAGUGUUAGGGUUUUGCCCUGAUUUUUUUUCCUUAUUUGAAGUUUAUUUUUUUCCUUAAAAAAAAGUCAAAAUAUCAUAUAUCAUAUAUUAUUAUAAGUGGGAAGAAUGUUAGGCAAAAGUUAGAUUACCAUUUUGCCCCUACAUUAAAUUAAAAUGUUAUAAACUAUUUAAUAAAUUAAAUACUAAAUAGUAAAUCAUCAUAUUACUACAUGAAUAAUUUAUUAAUACCUUUUACUAAUUAACUUCUAAAAUCAAAUCAAUAAUAACAAUUAAGCUAGACCAAAUACAUGAUUAGAUGUUAGAACUAAUUAUUUUUCACUUGUCUUCCCACUUUACAAUGAGCCUCUUAAAAUUUAUAUAUCUGUAUAAAUCUUCAUAUUGAGAAGGUAACCAGCUCUCAUCAACUCACACUAAUUUUUUUUGGAAUUUCUUAUAUUUUUCCUAUUUAAUUUAAUAUUAAAUGCCUAUUAAUAAAAAACUAUUGUUAAGUAUAAGCCGAAAAGACUCACAAAUUUUGUCAGUUUCAAGAAGAAAGUCCAAAAGUCUCUUAUCCCAAAAUUUAAAAGAAGAAG